rnacentral:rRNA from 1 species
GAACAUACCCUUUCCUGCGGAAUAGCUCCGGGAAACUGGAAUUAAUACCGCAUACGCCCUACGGGGGAAAGAUUUAUCGGGGAAGGAUUGGCCCGCGUUGGAUUAGCUAGUUGGUGGGGUAAAGGCCUACCAAGGCGACGAUCCAUAGCUGGUCUGAGAGGAUGAUCAGCCACAUUGGGACUGAGACACGGCCCAAACUCCUACGGGAGGCAGCAGUGGGGAAUAUUGGACAAUGGGCGCAAGCCUGAUCCAGCCAUGCCGCGUGAGUGAUGAAGGCCUUAGGGUUGUAAAGCUCUUUCACCGAUGAAGAUAAUGACGGUAGUCGGAGAAGAAGCCCCGGCUAACUUCGUGCCAGCAGCCGCGGUAAUACGAAGGGGGCUAGCGUUGUUCGGAAUUACUGGGCGUAAAGCGCACGUAGGCGGAUAUUUAAGUCAGGGGUGAAAUCCCGCAGCUCAACUGCGGAACUGCCUUUGAUACUGGGUAUCUUGAGUAUGGAAGAGGUAAGUGGAAUUCCGAGUGUAGAGGUGAAAUUCGUAGAUAUUCGGAGGAACACCAGUGGCCGAAGGCGGCUUACUGGUCCAUUACUGACGC